rnacentral:tRNA from 1 species
CGCUACGGACUAAAUCCGUCGACUUUAUAAGUUGUGAGGGUUCAAGUCCCUCUAUCCCCA